rnacentral:rRNA from 1 species
UUCACUCUGGGACUAGCCCUGGAAACGGGCUCUAAUACCGGAUAAUACUCUGUUCCGCAUGGAACGGGGUUGAAAGCUCCGGCGGUGAAGGAUGAGCCCGCGGCCUAUCAGCUUGUUGGUGGCGUAAUGGCCUACCAAGGCGACGACGGGUAGCCGGCCUGAGAGGGCGACCGGCCACACUGGGACUGAGACACGGCCCAGACUCCUACGGGAGGCAGCAGUGGGGAAUAUUGCACAAUGGGCGAAAGCCUGAUGCAGCGACGCCGCGUGAGGGAUGACGGCCUUCGGGUUGUAAACCUCUUUCAGCAGGGAAGAAGCGCAAGUGACGGUACCUGCAGAAGAAGCGCCGGCUAACUACGUGCCAGCAGCCGCGGUAAUACGUAGGGCGCAAGCGUUGUCCGGAAUUAUUGGGCGUAAAGAGCUCGUAGGCGGCUUGUCACGUCGGAUGUGAAAGCCCGGGGCUUAACCCCGGGUCUGCAUUCGAUACGGGCUAGCUAGAGUGUGGUAGGGGAGAUCGGAAUUCCUGGUGUAGCGGUGAAAUGCGCAGAUAUCAGGAGGAACACCGGUGGCGAAGGCGGAUCUCUGGGCCAUUACUGACGCUGAGGAGCGAAAGCGUGGGGAGCGAACAGGAUUAGAUACCCUGGUAGUCCACGCCGUAAACGUUGGGAACUAGGUGUUGGCGACAUUCCACGUCGUCGGUGCCGCAGCUAACGCAUUAAGUUCCCCGCCUGGGGGAGUACGGCCGCAAGGCUAAAACACAAAGGAAUAUGACGCGGGCCCGCACAAGCAGCGGAGCAUGUGGCUUAAUUCGACCCAACGCGAGAACCUUACCAAGGCUUGACAUAUACCGG